AGCUUGAAAAUGACGGAAUACAGUAUUUAACGAAUGACGACGAAGCAGUUGGUGUGCUUCUCAAGUCUUCGAACUCUGUAAUCGAACUGACUCCAAUUACAACUGAUCCAGGCGGUAUUAACUUUUCAUUAGUGGCUGAAAAUAAGAAUGAACCAAUCGGAAUAAUUGCAAUUGUGCUGAGCUGGAAAAACUUAACCACUUCGUCAUCUGGUAACAAACUUACGAAUUAUUUUAUUGCAAGCGAUUUGGUCUCCAUAGUUGUAUAUAAUGCUGAUGGCAAUUAUAUUCCGAAAGUGAAUACAACAAUUUUAUAUCCUGCAAUACGGCAUACACUUCCUGAAAAUAAUGAUAUAUUGUGGCCAGUCUGUGUGUUUAUCAACGAAACAUCAUCCCCACCGCAAUGGUCGACUGAAGGCUGUGAUACAAGACAUGAUGAUGUUACGCAGGGCGUAACUUGCUUGAGCAAUCACU